GACAGAGGGUGCGAACGUUGUUCGGAAUUACUGGGCGUAAAGCGCGUGUAGGCGGCAGCGUGUGUCGGGCGUGAAAUCCCACGGCUCAACCGUGGAAGUGCACUCGAAGCUGCGCAGCUUGAGUCCUGGAGAGGAAGGUGGAAUGCUUGGUGUAGAGGUGAAAUUCGUAGAUAUCAAGCGGAACACCGGUGGCGAAGGCGACCUUCUGGACAGUGACUGACGCUGAGACGCGAAAGCGUGGGGAGCGAACAGG
rnacentral:rRNA from 1 species